rnacentral:rRNA from 1 species
CAGCAGCCGCGGGAAUACCGAGGGUGCGAGCGUUAAUUGGAUUUACUGGGCGUAAAGCGUGCGUAGGCGGCUUCUUAAGUCGGAUGUGAAAUCCCUGAGCUUAACUUAGGAAUUGCAUUCGAUACUGGGAAGCUAGAGUAUGGGAGAGGAUGGUAGAAUUCCAGGUGUAGCGGUGAAAUGCGUAGAGAUCUGGAGGAAUACCGAUGGCGAAGGCAGCCAUCUGGCCUAAUACUGACGCUGAGGUACGAAAGCAUGGGGAGCAAACAGGAUUAGAUACCCCUGUAGUCCCUGUCUCUUAUAC